rnacentral:lncRNA from 1 species
GGAGCAGCCAGCAGUCUUAUGCUACCACUGUGGCUCAUCCUGGGGACUGAGAGAAACCUGGGCAACUGUGAGCACCAGAGGCCAAGUCCUGGACAGUCUUUAGGCCAUGUUGGAACUACAUUUGGAAAGGUGGUUGUUAAACAUUUCCCAGCACACACCUGGAUCUGCAUCUGCUGUGUCAAUUGAACCACUCACUGGUUCUGUGACCUCAGGCAAGUCAUUUAAAUUAUAAGCCUUGGUUUUAUCCUCCACAGAAUACUUCCUCCUAAAAUGUGUUGUGAAAAUUAGAAUAGAUGAAGGCACCCUUGAAAAGAUGACUGAUGUGGUUGGUUGCCCCACCACUUCCUACUACUUGGCAGAGCCUCCUCGUUGGCAGAUCCUUC